GGCUCACACCUAGGAAUCAAGGACGCUAUGUGUUAGGUCAGUAACAGAGAAUAAAGGGAGCCCUGCCACCCAAGAAAAGUGGCCAGCAGCAGACCAAAUGCAGUCAGCUUUCCACACCCUUCACAUUCGUAACACAGCAUCACGGAACAGGAUGAGGAUGCCUGAGACAGUCAGCUCAAGCUUCCUGGGGGCCCAAGGUCCCAAGUGAGGGCCCUUCCAGUGCCUAUGGCCAGAGCCCCCACCUGUCAAGCUUCAGGUCCUCCUUUAGAGCUGCAAACCACGAGGCUGAGCAGGUCCAGGCUCCUGGUAGCUAAAAGUGGGUCUGUCCCAAAGGAAUCACUAAUGAGGUGCCUUCUGAUACGGAGUCCCUGAAGGGUAUCCAUAGAAAUCAGUGAGAUACGAAAUGAAAGGUGUUUUUUUUUCUUUAAAUAAGCCUGCUUUUAUUAAAUGAACCUGCUCUAUUUCCAAGAAAUUGUGAAUUUCUUCUUCCUCCCUAAGCCCCAGCUCUAACUGGAUCAGAUCAGCAUCCCUAAGGGGCCAACAGAGAAGGAACCCCAUUGCUAGGAAAGCCCUGGGUAAGGGGGAGAUCCAGAGCCCCAGAGUCAGCACCAUCAUGUGCCUUCCAUGUGCCAGAAAUGGAAAUACGAGGCCACUGUCCUUGCGGGCUGGCAGUCUAGUGGAGAGGCAAGUCACACGAUUAGCUGUAAUGGAUGGAGAGCCUGGCCCACAGUGCCAGGAGUGAGCGUGGUACCCAGGAAACACCUGCACUGGAGUCUCCAUCAGCACAGCCCACAGGAGAUGGAAAGCCAGCUUUCACUAACGGGAGACUUGGGGGAGAUUUCGCUUUUCUCCCACAUGGCCUCUGAAAAGCAGCCAUGAUUCACAGGAUCUGGGUUAGCAUCCUCCUCUGGCAGGAGUCUGACACAGGACGACUGAGCUGACCCACAGCACAGGAUGGAAAACACACCAAAGUGGCUCCUGUCCAGGAACCCAAUGUCAUCUUGUCCUCACUCGUCUGCCAUCACUCAGGUGCUGCACAUGGCUGGGGUGUAGGGCCUCUCAGCAAAGUAUCCUGGGCUGCAAGUUCCAACAUGUGCGCCCUCCCCGACCUUCUCCUCUGGUCCUCACUGGCCUGGAGGUUUUGACAAAGAUCUUGGAGGGCGUUAGCUGUGUUCCUGGUCCAAUACCAGGAUCACACACUCAAGGUACUGCACACACUGAGGUCAGAUGGGCUCUGCCACUGCUGCCCCUCUGCAGACCAGGUGGACCAAGAAGUUAGGGACGGGCAGGCCUGUCUCAAGCACUGGGACCUACGGACCAGUGAGCCCCUGGGCCCCCAUCAUCCUGGUUCACUGUUCAGAAAACAUGUUCAUCACACUGGUGUCGCCUCCAGGUUCCAGGCGGCACAGGGGAGGGGUUAGGAGCACACACUUAGACACCAGACUAGUUACCUCCAGACCCAGGCCUUCCUGCUCCCUGGCUCUGUGGCCUCUGGCCUCCGGAACGUCAUUCUCCCUGCCCGUUUCCUUAUUUGUAAGUGAAGGUAAAUGCAGUGCCUCUUUCCCAGAGCUACCGUGAAGUCAAACAACUUAACAUUAGGGCGAUCAGCUGUCCUGCUUCGCCCAGGACUGUCCCAGAUUUAACAUGGGACGUCCAGCAUCCCAGGAAGCCCCCGAGUUCCCGGACAGCAAGCAGGGAGGGUCACCCUCAUUAAAAAUCUGUACAUGACCUACAUGUGGUAGGUA